UACGUAGGGUGCAAGCGUUAAUCGGAAUUACUGGGGCGUAAAGCGUGCGCAGGCGGUUUUGUAAGUCUGUCGUGAAAUCCCCGGGCUCAACCUGGGAAUUGCGAUGGAGACUGCAAGGCUAGAAUCUGGCAGAGGGGGGGUAGAAUUCCACGUGUGAGCAGUGAAAUGCGUAGAGAUGUGGAGGAACACCGAUGGCGAAGGCAGCCCCCUGG
rnacentral:rRNA from 1 species